UUCUCUCUGUGACCUACAGACCCCACCUCCCGUCUCCUUCCUCGCGACGGACUCCGCCUCCGCCUCCGCCGCCGCCACCGACUCGAACUCUCGGAGCUCCCCUGGUACGAAACCCACAAGACCCCUCGAGAUCGAGCCACUCGACCGCGCUGAUUUCCGCCCGUCUCGGUGACUCCAUCGACGAAUUUCUUCGCCAAACGGUGAGCCCCUCGACUCACCGCGACCACUCUUCGCCUUGAUCUGCCACACCUUUCUCACCUAUUCCCUUGCUCCGGAUAACACCAGGACGCGCUAUUCGAGCCCCACCAUGCUCCGGCCGAGCUCUAUCACCGCAAGACGGAGCCCCCACAUCAUCAAGGAGGAUCCCUUAGAGAUUGCUGAGGCACGACGCACCUCGUGGACUACUUCCCGGAGCAAGAAGACCCCAGGAACCGACCCCGUACCCAUCUAUUCCGGUGACCUCCGCUGCCUAACCCAGGUGAGAUCCGAAACCCUAGCUCCAUUAUAACACCAGCCUUCCAAUCUGACUAAAACCAAUGGCCCAGAUCCAUCCAUGUUACUGCAUUCUGAGAUGGCAUACGUGACAUGGCUGAUGGAUCAAUCCCAAGAGAUUUUGUUUUUCAUGUUGGCUCACCUUCUCACACGCGUGUACAUCCGUGAGUGAAUUUGGUUAUUUAGAACAAAAUCUGAGAGUUGACGUAAUGGAAUUGUUGUUUUCUGUGAACUGAAUGACACACAUAUACAUAUUGCCUCGUCGUAAUUCUGUUGCCUAUCCCAACCGCAUGUGCUCCUGAAUAUGUGGAACAUAUCUAGCUGGAUAUUGUGCACCCUUUAAAUUCAUAAUAGAUCAACCAUAUGUGGAAUAGCCACCACGCUAGGGUUUGGACUCUAAUAGAUGGUCACAAUUUGGUUAACAAGGUGCUAUGGGUCGAUGGAUUGCUAUAGAUCCUGUGAUGGGCUGGUUCAUGUGAAUUUGUCUCAUAAUUGGGCAAUUGGUCCUCUGGUUGAUACUGCUCGUACUGCUCUAAUCAGGUUGGUUAUGUUGCUCUUCUGGGUUUAGGAUGUCUAGCUGAGCCAUUGAGCCAGUUACCAUUGCUCUAAUCAUAUUAAGCAUAUAACAUAACUACGAACAAUUCUCUUCUGAUGUAGGUGGUCUGUGUUCAUCUCUAGUCCAUGUGUGCGUGAUGUGCUCAUGUGAGCAGGACAUUAUCAAGUGUAUGUGUGUUGCAAAUGUGCUCUGCACAUUAGCAGAUCAUGUUGAUGUACAUGACUUCAGUUCUUAUAAGUUGAUUUUCUUAUCUCUGCUAAGGAAUUCUUCUUGUACGUGUUUCAGCUUUUGAUGUUCUGCGCACUGACCGAUCGAUGCCCUUCUAUGAGAAGAAAGAAAAACGACCCAUUCCUAGCUGUGUACGAGUGUAUUGACAAACAAGUUGGUUAUUGUCAAGGUGGCUUGCUGCCUCCUAUUUGCAUAGAAUGCUUAUUUAUUACUGUAAUUAGGUCGUCGUUGUUGUUGUUGUACCUUACCUCAACUAGGCCAUCCCAUGUUUUUUUCUCCAUCCCAUGUUUUCUCCAAGCUUGAGUCCAUGAUUUCUUGUUUUCUUUUUCGAUUUGACCUCAUGAUUAUCUUGUUAUUUCUUUUGUGCUUCUUGUGCGGCAGGAUUCGAUUUGGUACAACAUCAUCACCGAUGCAGACAAGAAGUGCUUCAUCGUGCCAGGCACCUUGGCGUUGCUUUCGUCUGACGGCGACCGCGGCUACAGAAACAAUCACAAUGAACUCCUCUCCUUGCCUCCGGUGCUUGCUCUGUGCUCGUCGUAGCCAUCAUGCCAUGGCUGUCUGGUUAGGCUGCUACAUUAUAUCCUUGCUACUGUUUGUUUGUUCUUUUCUCUGCCUUGUGAUUAGCAUGCUGCUAGUAGCCCCCGCGUGAUAGUAACUUGCUGAAUAUAUGUCUUUGAGUAGCAACUUAUAGAAUAUAUAUAGCUCAUGUUCAUGUUUUCCCAUCCCACCAAGUCUGAAACACUUCUUCGCACUCAACAACCAGGCAGCACACCUGAAUAUAUAUACACAUAUGUACGUAGUUUCCCAUAACACAUGGAGCAGCCUUGUUCGUUUCGGGAUGUAGUAUCACCACUUAAUUUAUUCCCUGCCUGCCACCUUCAUGAAAUUCCGACUGUAUAUAUGUAGUUUGUGUACCGUCCAUGAUAUGCACUUGCAUAUAUACUCAACUCAUGUUGGUCUUGUGCUAUUUCCAAGGAUGCCUUCCUACUCGUGCUAGUUUUAAGUCAUGUGGCCUUGCUUCCAGGAUGAUGAUAUUCCAACUAUAUGGUUGUGGUAUGUUGCACUCUUUUGACACUAUUUUAUAUCACUACAAUUGUUUAGACAAACAUGGAGAUGCUGUGAGUUUGCUUUUCCCAGUAUGUCUUACCCAUGUAGUAUGUAGAACGCUUCAUUCUAUUAAGAAAGGCAUUUUUGAUAGUGUCAUGAUAAGAAGUCGUCUUGAGAAGAGUGGCGCCAGAAUAAGGUAAAUAGGCGGAAGCAUGUGAGCACCAUAGUAGGUUGAGCUGAAGGUGGUGCAUUACGAGGAAGGAGGCAUCACAGUCAAGGGAGAUGGCGCAUCAGAAGAAUCCACAACACACAGACGACCAAUUUGGUAAAGAAGAGGAUGAGGCGGAAUCACCGGAGAAAACUCAGUGGACAAUCGAGGUGAGGUAGCCUCGGACAAUGGAGUCGUGGGUGACAACGACAUGGGUCAACAAUAGUAAUACAAGACACGUGGGUGGACUGGGAUAAUUCAUGAAUCAUAGAUGUAUCGGGAAGAGUGAGGAAAUAAAUAUCUUCAAUGGAGGAUGGACGUGGAUAGCAAGGAUGAAACUCAUCAAAAGUGACAUCUUGAGAAAUGUGCAUCCGAUGGCUGACAAGAUCCCAACACCAAUAGUCCUUGUGCUCAUCACUAUAACAUAAGAAGACACAUUCAACACACUAAACGGUUUGGUGUGUUCAUUGGGGCAAGAAGAAUGUACAAAUGCAACCAAACAAAGGAAGCUAGAGUUGUCACGAGAAUGAUCGAAAAGACACACGAGAGAAAUGUCACCCUGCAGAGCAAUGGAAGGCGGAAUGUUGAUGAGAUAGGCGGUAGUAGACACAACCUCAACCCAGAAGUGAGGUGAAAGGGAGUUGACGAUCAUCAACACAUGAGCCACUCUGAGCACCAAGACAAGAGAAUUGAGCAAGUGUGCCCUGCUCAGCAAGGAAUCAACAUAGCGAAUGAGACAUAUACUGUUGAGCAAAAUCUGCAUGGAAGACACGGAUAGGAGUGGAAAACUUAGUAUGAACCAUGGCACCAAUUUCUUACAAAGAGAUCAGACCUCACUACAAGAAGACAUAAUAUAUUCUGUGUGCCGAGAGAAAUCAUCUAUAAAUAUAAUAUAUUAGCGAUGACCUCCUUUUGAGGCAAAGGGAGCUAGACCCCAUACAUCAGAGUGAACAAUACCGGAAGGACGAUGAGACACCGUCUUGCUAACUUGUUUACCAAGCUAACAAACUUGACAUUCUAAAUCUUCACCACCAGAGACAGAUCCAAGAAGACCACGUUGAAACUAAAGAUGAGAGAUGAGAGCCACAAAGGGCCGGUUCUUGAGGCAAUAGAGGCGAAGAGAUUUGCGGUGGUGGCCUUGGGAGUCACAACGCUGAGGGCCAACACCAAGUAGAGCACCCGUGUGAUGAUCCUAAUCAAAACAAUUUUCAAAGUCAAGAAUGACUAUACCAAGAGUCAACAAUCUAAUCACCUGAAAUGGACUACAUGGUAAGUCAAGGAGCAUGAGCAAAAGAAGGAACAUAACAAGGCAAACUGCUAAGAGUGCCUCGGCUAUUGACCAAGAGGGAAGUACCAUCAGCAGUAACAACAUGAACAUGAGAAUCCAGAGGUUUGAAUGGAGAGGAUAAACUGGAAGAAUCAUGAGUCAUAUGAAAAGACACUCCAAUACCAAGGAUCCACAGAAACAUAUCCGGAUAUAAAAAGUAGUCUCAGUACCAAAAGAAUAAUUAACAAAACCUAUAAAACUAUUAAUGGCGAACCAAAAGAAGCAUCUAGCGGGAGAAGUAUGUCAGGUGCUCGACGGAAGAGGUCGACGAAGAAGCAUCGGGCAAUAAUGAACCAUGAGAAGUAUGUGUCAAAGUCAUGCAAUCUCCUGUGCGGUGAAGGACACCGCUAAAUUGGUUGAUGUAGAAUCACCUGAAGAGGAUGCACGACCAAUACUGGUUGUAUAAUUUAGCGGAGGAGAUGAGAUCGUAGGCACAUGAGCGAAGGGAAGGCGCAUGUGUGCGACAUAGUGGGUGGAGUGAUGUGCACAAAGACUACUGAUGAAAGCUUCGAGUAUAGUCUGUAUAGAGCGACCAUCACCUUCUGUAGAGGUCACUAGGCGUCACUAUUGAGCCACCACACAAUUUGCGGAAGCACCAAGCAUCAACGGACGAUGCAUGUGCAAGAUGGGGUCAAUGUACGUAAUAUCAUUAGACGAAAAAGGAAGAGGAACUCUGUCCAAUGAAGUCCAAUACCUUUUUUUUCUACUAUUUAUUUUACAGAACUAGCUACGUCUUAUGAAAGAAGAGAGCGGCAUAGCACGUAAGAGUAAGGAAUAGGGCGCAUGCUUAGGGGCAUGGUCCCCUAGAGAAGGCAGUCGACAGGAUGGGCUGUCGAGUCCGAGUCUGAUUGUGAAGUUCGAUGUUGAGGUCCUGUGUGGAGCAAAAGAGGAGGUGAGACCGUGCAUGCAACAACGAAUGUCCGGAGGUUGUGAUUGUGCGCCAACCAACUGGAGAUGGCGACGAGGCGCGACCUAUUGGAGUGGCAGGGUGUCAGAUUCCUAGAGAUGGCAAUGAGGCGUUGCCUUAUGUACAUGGUGACAAUGCAUGACCUCCUGAAGAUGCCGGAGAGGUAGCCUAUUGUUACGUGCACGACGCAGGUGGCCACAAGGGUGACCAUGAUGAAGGCGAAGGUAUCAAGCUUGGAAGGGCGUGCCGCGAGUGACGACUUGUGGGAAUUCAUCGGGACGGGAAAGGCCUGGACAACGAAGGAGAGACAACCCCGACCUAGAGGCAGUGGAGAGACGACGACAAUUGUCGGAAAAGACAUUGACAUGGGUCGGGGAGGUGGGGUUGCACGUGAGUGUACUAGCCUGAGAACAAAUGAUUGGAAACUUGGAUAGAGAUCAAUUUAAAGAAGAGCACGAGUCGUGUGUGCGAGGAAGAAAACCUAGGCUCUAAUACCAUGUUAAGAAUAUGCAACUUGUAUUCCCAUGUGGCCAUAGGCUAUACAUGUACAUGCAUGGUAAGAUAUGCAGAAAGCCCCCCGUACAUAACUAAUAUAUUACUCAUGUUGAACACCCGGGCGUUGUGCUCCUUCCACGUGGUCUAGAAUGUGAGCAAAACCGUGCGCCAAAGGUGAUGUCGAAGAGGCGAGCAUGAAUUUCUAGAUGCCUGUUGAGAAGAAGUACUUGGUGAAAAAGUGUUGAGCACUCUUGGGGGCACUGAAGCAGAGGGUGCAUGCCAUGUUGAUGUUCGCACCAUGGCGUUGACGACGGUUAGUAGACCAUUAAUGAUACUCUAGAUAUGUGCCAAAUAUGGCUCCAACCGCAAUCCAAAUCCAAGCUUCAUCAUUCAGCCAUUGUCUCUAGAUUGCCGAUAGUUGAAGACCUGAGCGUUGUGUUCCUUCCAGAUGGUCCAGACCACGAGCAAAAAUGUCGACUCGAGAUACCAGCUUGGGGUCCAUGCAAAGGAUGUCAAAUUCAUACCAUUUGACAAUGACACAUCAGCGGCAAAGUUUAAUUGUUUUUUCGGAUUGAAACACAAACAUGCCUAGGGGUCCUUGGAUCUUUAGGCACCAUGCUAUGGUAAUUGAAGAGUAUAAUGGGAUUUGUCUCCCUUAACUCCAUAUGUGUUUGGGCACGGAUCAUGGGUCUACCGGACUUCUUGUGCAAUGGUGGCUAGAGCAAUGGCUUCCCAGAUAGAGAAGUGUUAGAUGUGGAGCUUGGGCUAAAUGGCGUUGAGUAUGUGAGAUUGUUUGAGUCUGCGUCAAGAUCAAACUAGAGAAGCCCUCUUUGAGGUUCUUAGGGAAUGUUGAGAGAGGUAAUCCACCCCAAAUGUCCCAUGUGCUAUACGAGAAGAUGUCGCAUUCUUUGUAAAUUGCGAUAUGAUUGGCCAUGUUACAGAACAAUGCGAGGAUGGGGUUCAUGAUCCAAAGAAGUUCCAGUUUGGCGAUUUUAUGAUGGUUCCAAUCUAGAUGUGGUUCCAACCUAGAAAUGAGUUCAUUGCUCAACCUCGUGGUAGCAGCACGUGUGGAAGAGGUGGUAGCUGGGCUAGUAGAGGUCAAGGUGGUCAUAGAGGGAGAAUUGGGCAUGACCCGACCCGAUGUGUAAGGAGAAAAGAUGAUUUUGACCCUGCAAAUGGAAAUAUGAGCACAUGCAAUUUCGCAUACAGUGUUAAUUUAAGGAAUUUUGGUACGAAGCCACCUCGCAAGAGAUUAUUGAUUGCAGACAACCUCGCAUCGAGCAAGGACGCCCUCCCUUGUGGUUUGGAGGAAAGAAAGUGACAAGUCUUAUAGCAUACCCUGAGGGCAAAACUGGGCGAGUAACUCAACUCAGGGUUUCUCUUUGCAAGUUCAAUUGGAAAGAAGGCAGAGGAUGGCGCGGGCGUGUCGCUCCUAACAACAUUUUCAUCGUUUCCCCAUAACUCGCUCACUAUCCAUUCACCGUUGAUUCGGCUUGGCGUUCUUCUCCUGUUUGCGGGUUGUGUGCCACGUACUUGAUUCCGCAUUCCACGUUCCCUUGCAGGGUGUCCUAGGCCUUGGCGACAGGUAGCGUCGUGCCCCUGGACGCUUGCGUCCUCGCAUAAGACGGAGACGAUGCCGACUGCUUGUGCUCUUGCUCCACCAGUGGUGGUGCAUGAGCUUGUGGCUAUGGUGACAACCUGCAUGGGAGCACGAGAUGUAGGAACAAGGCAGUGUACAGAGCAACUCGUAGCCGGGCAAAGGAUGCCUAGCCGGACUGGCAAGCAAUAGAUAGUACAUGGGAGGUGUGGGGGAAGGUGUGAAAACGAUGUUGGGAACGUGCGACUAUCGUCAACCUAUGGACCCAGAGCUGAGGGGCAAGGGGAUGGUGAUAGGGGAAGCAAGGAAGAAGGAAAGAGGGCACUGGGAGGAGAAAUGCAUCAUCAACCGCCCUAUGCCUAUGCGUCAUCUAUGACGGUGGACUGUUGUGGGAAGAUAUGGUGUCUACACGUGGAUCUACUUGGUUGACAUGACGAACUUGAGCAUGGGAAGAAAAGAUGGUGAGAGAGUCCCACGUAGAACAUGGAGGAGGUGACUAUAUUGGAUUGAAGUGGGAGCAAAGACAAACUCACUUAAAAUGUGAACGUGAUAUGAAAUAUUUGGUCAAGUGGCAUCUAAAUAGACAAGACUCCCAACAAAAUGAAGGUAUCGUGCCAGAUCAAACGAAAGCUCUCCGUUAGAAGCACAGAGGUGGACGUUGAGCUCCAUAGGAGUUUAAACAUUACGCUCACUAAUAAAACAAUGUGAGCAAGAAAAUCCUGGAUAUACUUAUCUCAUUAAGUAAAGAAGCCAUCAAAGGUAGAAGAAACCUUAACCCCCAAGGAUUAAGGCAUAAGAGCUACUGACUAAGACGAGCCUUCACAAAGGCAAUGUACUCAGUUGUUGCCAGUUAUGAUCAUGAGCUGAAAGGUUGACAUAAAAGAAGAGUACCUUAUGGUAACAUUACACGUGGAAGACGAAAGCUGAGUUUGACCAUGAGCUGAAAGGUUGACAUAAAAGAAGAGUACCUUAUGGUAACAUCACCCGUGGAAGACGAAAGAUGAGUUUGACCUUGCAAAUGGAAAAUUGGGUGCAAUGUCAUUGCAAACCAUGUUAAUCUUAAUUCUUGAUUCGUGUGGGACUCGGCGGCAUACGACGCCUUUGCACUGGUUGCGGUAGGAUCGUGUUAUUGGACGACUAGGAUCACAAAGGUGACACCACGUGUUAUUUCAUACCCUUGAAGGGAAAUUUUUGUUGUUUGUUAGCCAGCCUACAUAACCCCACAUCCACUACCACGUUCACCUUUUCUCCAUGCGGUGAAAGCACUAUCCGCCACAUCCCACACUCGUGGCCCCUGUUUCUGUUUGGUCGCCAUCCCUCUCUCGCGUUGUCCGCAACAGGUAUUAUCCAUGCUCGACAUCGCCUCCUUGAUGCUCUGCGGCCUUCGGACAGUUCUCAUCCGCGACGCCGGUCUCCUCCUUCACAAACCCUUGUUGCCGCUGUCCUCCUUCCUUUCUUGACGGUGUCCUGUCAUCUUCCUCCCCACUGGCGCCAAAGGUCCCCCAACGGCAAAACGGUAUGAUGAGUUCAUCUUGUAUUUCUUAUCCCUUUUUUAUGAUGCAUAUUGUUGUUGAUGGUAAGAAAGGUGGCAUUUUGAAUGUAAUUGCAGGAUGAUUAGUCAGAGGACUCACACGACCAUGUUUACACGGACGAGUUCUUGCAGCAAGUAAGUCUUUGUUUUUUGUGUGGAUUAAUUCAUGCAUAAUAAUGCAGAUGUGUCAGGUUACUGAAUUGUGAUUGAUAGGCUCUUCAAUUGUGAUGAUUUGCAACAACACCAGAGGCUGGGAAGCACACCUGAACCAGGUCACAGCCUUAUCACCUCGUUUCCUCGCCCUGCUCCCCAAUUUGAAGGCAAGGUCACAGAGCAGCAGCACCUGCGGCCGCAUGAUUUAUGCUUUGCAUGGUUUUUAUGAUGUGCUAUGGAAGCACAGGAAUUUGUUUGCAGCCCCCCUUCGGACCUAGGUAAAAGAAACACAAGUUUUACUUCCAAUUGAUAUUGUUAGUGCUCAAGUGAUUAUACGAUCUAUUGACACAAAUAUACUUCUUUUUAACUGAUUAAAAUUUAAUGAGCUUUGCAUCAGCCUUAGAAGUAUAGCCCAGAUUUAAAAAUGUGUGGCUCAUGAGUUCAAGGAGACGAGCUGCAGAUUUAAAAAUGUGUGGCUCAUGAUGUGAAGGACACGAGCUGCAGAUAACAAGACAUAGAAUCAAUUGCUCACACAUUCCCCAUUGAUGCAAAUCCAACCUUAUUAGAAACAUUUGCAGUCAAAAACUUCAGGGAAAUACACAAUGAGAAGUUUUAGCCUUCCCUCAUAUAGAAACUAAUAUGCCACCCUAAUUUGGAUGAUCUUUUUCUCUAGCAAGAGCUUUUAAUUCCAAGGUUGAGCAGCUCAAGACUUGGCACAUGAGAGUGUAACAGUUAGUUUCUCAAGACUUGUUCAUUAGCAGUCCAUUCUUCAAUAAUAAUUUAUGAAAGGAUCUAAAAGACAUUUUCCAAAUGAUUUGUAUUCCAUAUCCUGACUUUAAAAGGUCACUUUACAUGGAGUACAACAUUAUUAUACUUCCAUUUUUUUUGCUAUACCAAGAGGCUCUUCACUUUUCAUCUUUGUAACUGCAAUGGAAGAUAGCUUAUGAAUGUUACUUUGCAAUAUAUUUAUCUUUGAUUAGAUGGUUUUUUGGUUUACUGAUACAUUUUGGCAAUCUAAUGUUUCAGGUCUCACCGGCCAUGUUAAGUUAGAGUAUGAUGUACCACCCUCUGUUGACCAUAAACUUGCAAUGUAAGGAUACGGUACCAGCAAAUUGGAUCACAUGGUGAUAUGAUUAUUUUGUAAAACUUGCACAUGGCAUUUCCUAGGCGUGUUUUCCUGUGACAGUAUUUCUAUGACAUGAGGAUGUGAUUGAUGUAAUGGUCCAGUUAUGAUAUCGAAUAUGGAUACUUGUGUUCGAACAUUAGACCUUUGUUUUCUCUAUUUCCAGAGUAAUGUGCUUCAAGGUCACACUUUGGUGAACUGCAAACUUGAUAGUAGCCUUUUCAGCAUUCUUAUCCUGCUCCAGGGUUUACUAUUUGGCACAUGAUUAUGUGCAUGCUUAAAAUGAAGGUAACACAUAUCGACUUCUAUUGUGUACAUACUUGCGCAUUAUUAUUUAAAUCAUUAUUGUGCCUAUAUUACAUGCUUGCUAAUAAAAAUAUUGUGUGCAAACAAAGCGUUUGAAGCCCUGUAAAAAUAAAGAACGUUUGCAUACAGAUGAACAUGUAGUCAAACUUCUGAACAAGUAUGUGAUAAUAUAGGUCAUAAAUAGUGUUACUUUUAUGAUUGGUAUGAACACUUUUUUUUUCCUGAAAUUGUAGGUUAUAGAAGAAACUAAUCUUCGGAUAUUUUUGAAACUCAUCUUCUGGUUCAUUACAAGUAUGACAUGGUUAGUUAUUGUUUGUUCAGUGUCAACCUAACGACCUUGAGCUUUACAUCCCUCGCAAUGAAUGCAUUUGUUUUUGCGUAUUUCUCCCUUGCAUGUUCAAUUUCAAAUAUAGACAAAUAUGUUGAUGUUUUUCUGCUUCGUAAUCGGGUGUUAUCUUUUACCGGUAACAUAUCUGUGCUGCAAGAAAAACCGAUGUCAAGUAUUAUUUUUCUGAAGGAUAAACCAAUGCUAAGUAUUCAAAAUGACAUGUGGCCUCUGCUUGGUCAAACCAAUUUUUUCUAUGGAUAUGGACGUGAAAUAUUGUAAUCUGAAUUGUUUAAUUUAUAUUCAUCAUUCAAUAUUUUCUAAUUAUUUCUUAAAUAUAUUUUUUCUUGCCUUAGAAUGGACGGGCGAAGCAAAUGCACGUCUUCGUGAUCUAGUUAAUUAGAAGUAAGAGAAAGGAUUGUUUGCAAGAGCUUACUGGUAAGGGAUUUGAUGCGAGGAGGGGCUGCCCGUUGCCAUAGGAGCAAUAGGGGAGGAGGAAGAAAAUUAAAAUAUUAGUAGUAUUACGCUGUCCCUGUUUGACACUACCAUAAAUUGUUCUAUCCUAUUUGACACUGGAAAUAUGGUUCUUCCCCGUCUAACACUGACUCUAAAUUUUGUUUCCAAUAUACAUGGUGCGUGAGAUGACAAUUUUGCCCUCAAACAUCUAGCCAAUUCUUACAUUUAUUCAAGUGUCUUAUUAAAGGAAGGGUCCAGUUAUCAGAGUCAUGGACUAGACAUAAGUUUCUUUCUUGUUUUUAAUGCAUUUUUUUCUUUUUGCUUAUUUAUUUUCCAGGUUCCAUAGGUUUCUUGUUUAACGUUCUUUCUUCGUUUUUCCCAUGGUUUUCUUUGUCUUUUUUAUUUCAGUUUCAUUCUUGUGCAUUGGUUUCUUCGGUUUUUCAAUUUCUCCUUGUUUUCUUGUUUUUAUUUUUGGUUUCUUCGUUUUUUUUGCAUAUUAUUAUGAAUAGCAAAAGGGUCCAUGCGUUGCAACGGGAGAAAGAAAUACCACACGACACACGCUCUUAAUUUAUAAAAAAUGUUCUAUAAUCUGAGAAUUUGUAGUUACGACACAAAUAAAGAUGGUCUUAUCCUAUAAAAAUGCAGUUUAAAAUUUCAUAGAUCUUCUAUUUUAGCACGGCUUGCAUGUAGAUUCCAUAGUACGAAGAAUCAGUCAAGUGACCUUCAAUUUCAUCUCUAAUCCUGAUUUUGUUGACGUGUUUAUCCCCAACCUGUAUGAGUACCGGUAUGAAAGAAAGACGGAUAAUGACUUAUUUAUUAAGAUUGCAUCCUAGAUAAUAUUUUUAUUAAACGUUUAACAGAUAAAAUAAUAUCAUAUUUAAAUUCUACAUAUUUUUCUAAUCAAAUUUCAUAUAUAAUAUGUUAAAUUUGGAGUUACGGUUUAAAAGAUAUGAGUAUUUUAAAAAAUAUUUAAUAUAUACUACGAGUUUAAUGUCAUAAACAGUAAAGGCUUUUUUGUAAAAUCACCUCGGUUGGAAACAUUUAAUAUAUACUACGAGUUUAAUGUCAUAAACAGUAAUGGUUUUUUUUGUAAAAUCACCUCGAUGGGUUUUCCAACAAAAGCGAUAGCCUCUUUAUUAUUAGGUAAGAUUUCACUGGUUUCUUUAUUUGGAACACAUGUUAGUUUCCUAUCAGUACAGAUUCGACAUUUUUCUUAUACAUGUGAAAUAUUUUUUAUAUACAUUAUUAGCGUUUUUGUAGAACAUGAUUAGCAUUUUUAACUUAUUUUUUGGAUAUAUCGUUUUUUCUCCGUACAUACUGUACAUUUUAGGUAUAUUUCUAAUGCAUUUUGGUAAUACAUGUUUAAUAACAUAUUUCCAAUACAAAGUUAACAUUUAUAAAUAUUUAAUAUAUAUUUGAAAUUCUGGAUUAAUAUUUUCAAGUACAAGAUUUAACUAUUUUUAAUACAUGGUCAAUAUUUUUCUAUACAGAUUUAACUUAUUUUAAAUGCUUUAUUAACAUUUUCAAAAACAAGAUUAAAAUUCUUUGAAUACAUGGUCAACAUUUUUUAUAUGCACGUUUAAUGUUUUGCAUGUACUUGUUUAACAUUUCUUUUCAAAUAAUUGAUUAUUAUUUUUUCGUUAGGGAUCAUCUUUGUUCACAGACAUUAUAUAUUUCNCCUCUGUCUCUCCAUAGCUAGACCUUGUAAAUUCGAUCCCUCAAACGUCCGCAGACGUGUUUGGGCCUGUCCGCGGACAUUGACGGGUCACACUUCAAAUUUCCCUCUCAACAUCCAACUCUCUCGUAUUUCAUCCCUCAUAUCCAUACAAAUCAUGAAAAAUAUAUCCUACGUACUAAUUAGUGUAUUAAGCUUCUUCCUCAUCGGAGAUGGCCUGAUCCGCCUGCGUCACCCAUGCUUUCUCCAUCCGACGUGUGGCCACCGCAGCCGACUCCGAACGGAUGGAGUUGAGGAUGUCCAGCUGCUCCAGCCAAAAGAUCGAUGACCGCCGGUGCCUCCUUCUCCCGCUCCUGUGGCGACGGCUCCUUCCUCAUCUCCCCCUCCUCGACCUCCGAUACCAGAGGUAGCUGCACUUCCCUUUGGAUUCAGACUUGCUGAAGGAGGAAGAGACGAUGCUGGAUCGUGUAAUGCCAAUGGCCUGGUGGCAUGACGGGCGGACUCGAAGAGGGAAGUGCUUGGGUGUCGGCGGAGAGAGGGAGGAGGCGUAUGUGCAAGGGCUGGGGGGCGCCAACCGACUUAAAUAGUCGACCCCGACCUUGGAGCGGCGCCACGCGACAUUCACACCGCGCCGACGGUCGAGGCACCCGUCGAACCAUCAUGUUUCCUGACGAGUCCGCAUGGGGUCAAGCCGUUAGUCCGACGAGACGGGCAUGUCCGGGGUCCUCAUAUCCGCCUCAUAUUUGGGCUGGAAAUGGAGGGUGCCGGUCAGCCCGGGCGUUUGAGGCCGGUUUAAGAGGCCCGCCUGGAUCAAAUUUUUGUGAUCGGACAGUGAUCGAACGGCCUGCCCGAACGUUUGAGGAGGUUUGAGAGGUUCGGCUGUAGAUGUUCUUAGAACACAUACUUAACAAGAUUGUAUGGGGAGCUUUUGUAACCCCGUUUUGCGUUAAAAAAUCGUUAAAUGUGAUUGGAAUGGAAGUUGGUUUUGGAUCCCAGGCUCCAUUGAGCCUGAAUUUUAAAAAAUUAACAAGCAAAUCUUGAAGUUUUAAAACUAGCUUAUGCAGAUUAUACUGUACAAGCUGAGAAAGAAAUAAUGAGGAAAAGAAAAUCACGAUAUGAGCUCUUCACUAAAAAGUUUAUCGAGCAUGUGUGUGAUCCUUUGAUGUGAAUGUGAGAUUGUGUGGACAAAUUCCAAUAAGGCAUAAACGAAGAAGUGAAUGUAAAAUCACUCAACUCGUAGUGACGUGAAUGGAAAAUCACUCGAUUGGAAAUAUUUAACCACUCGAACCAUUUUAUUUUAGUCAAUUACAUUACAGGUGUCUGAAGUUGGCGUGAAAAGUCAGCUUGAUGCUUAAACUUGCAGCAUACAUUCAAGCGAUGACAUAACUUUGCUUGGGUAUAUGCAUCAACGGUUUUACUCACGUCUGUAUACUUAUAGGGUGCUGAUGUGGAGUGCCAGCAUGGCACGGGGCCCAUCCGUCGCGAGGUGGGGAUGAGGGCGUGUGGCCUAGGAUUUUUUUUGCGAAAACUCCAUGAAAUAUUAAUUUUCUCAUGAAAAGCCUUUCAAAAAUUUUCCUUAAAAAAUGAAACAACACAAUUAAUAUGAAAAAUAUUACGCCUCCAAGGUUCGAACUAGACCUGGCUAGCCCCAGACCAUGUAUAAUUUGCUAGAGUAUAUAAUUGAUAGCUAUUUCUAAUGAACUAUAGGCAAGCACGAACAUAAAUUUUAAAUGAGCUGCUGUCACCGCGGCCCAUUUUUGAUACGUUAGUUUUUUCCUUUCUUAGAAGUAUGUUGUAUUAUUUAAAUUAUAAAUAAUGUACACACAAAGUAAGUAAGUUAUUUAAAAUAAUUUUCAUGUAAUUUCUAAAACUAUUUUAUUUAAAAUAAUGCUCAUAUAAUUCAAAAAGUAAAUUUAUUUAAAAUAAUGUUCAUAUAAUUUUAAAAAAUGUCCUUAUUUAAAAGAAUGUUUAGAUUCUAGACAUCAUAUUUAGAUUCUACACAUUUUAUAAAUAUUUAACAGCUAAAAACAACAUCAUAUUCAGAUUCUACAUAUUUUUAUAAUCAAAUGUCAUAUAUAACAUGUUAAAAUUGAAGUUACGGUUUAAAUAUAUAAAUAAUUGUGUUUUACAUAAACCGCGGAUUGGUUAACCGAAAUGUCAAGGGGUUUUCUGUUGAAACCGAAAAAAAUGGUUUGGCUGACUUAAAAUAUGAAUGUCGGAUUGAUUAUCCAAAAUGUCAAGGGGUUUUCUCAUAGAAUGCAAAAUAACGGUUCGACUAUGACUUAAAUAUGCACUGUGGGUUAAUUUACAACAAACUGAAGGGUUUAUUUACAAAAUAGUGCGAUGGACGACCAUGCUUUAUUAUUAUUAGGUAUAAAUUAAAAUCAUAAACAUUAGUUAUAUUGGUACUUUUGAAUUAAAUAACUAAUAUGUAAAAAGGGGAUGUAGUGACUACAGCGGUGUAGCUCAUGUAAGCCCUAUGUACAUGUCUGUUUAUAGGUCAUUAUUUAUUGUUAACCCAUGUUGGCAGCAAUUAGUAAUUGUGGUGGUGGCUAUGGGUUGAGGGCCGUUGUUCGACCUUCGUCAAACACAAUUUUUGUUACUAGUUUUCUCUUCAUACAAUUUUCUGACCGGUAGGCCCCAAGGGCCAUAGAGACAUAGUUACGUUUCUGUGGCUUUUGACAAAGGAAAAAAAUUCAAACGGUUUUUGUAGGGUGAAAAAUAAUUCAAGUUGCUUUCUGCAAUAAAAAAACAGGCCACAUGUCCUAGCCCGUCUACCGAUCACUAAUUGGUAGGCCCUGCAUCGUAUGCUGUCAUGCCACGUCAGCACCAUGUAUGUAUACAAAUGUGAUUAACAUCGUAGAUGCAUGUUUAAGUUAAGUUUUGUCACAUUUUCAAUGUAUUUCACAAGUUUUAGAAUUAAACUGAUUUUUUUGCCAAGUUCAGAAACCUGUGGUGUAAUUGACUCGUUUUUUUUUCAUAGAAGGUUACCGCCUAGCUUUAAUAACGAGGCUCUAAAGGUUAUAUAGCUCAGAGGUUUCGUACAAGGGUCAAUGAGAACGAAUGAGCUGCAUGGCGCUCAAGCUAGAAACUGCAAAAAUAAAGAUACAAGCCAAUGCUGAUGCAACAAACGAGCGUCGAUUCCGUGAAACACUAUCUUUUUCUUUUGAAACGGAGGCAAAAGCUUUGCCUCAUCUCAUUAAAUAAGAAGGAGAAGAACAAGGUUUAAAUAGGUGUUACAGGACCAAAAGGCCCGGACAGUGGGAUCACUCUCCCGGUAAAAUGUUACCCAUAAAUCUUGCCCCGGCCACUACCCAAGUUUUAGCUCCUUCCCUGAUCUUCGCAACCACCCUGGUGGAUAGCGAGGCCUUGUUGCGGAAAACGCGGGCAUUCCUUUCGUUCCAAAUCUCCCAGCAUAUGAGCAUUUGUAGUGAGUUGAUCACCUUUCUGGAGUAUCUCGGUUGUCCUUUGCCUAAAUUCCACCAUUGCUUCACCUGGUGUAAGUCGUGCCAAGACGGUGUCACAGAUUGCCGACCCAACCAAACAUAAAUCAGGUUCCAAACCCUUACAGUGUAGUGACAUUUGAACAUCAGGUGGGCCGCAGUUUCCAGCUCCCUCUUGCAGAGCUGGCAGAUGCCACAGUUUGGCCACCCUCUGCGAAACAAUCUGUCCGCUGUCCAGACUCUGUCUUGAAGAAUCAACCAAGAGAAGAGUUUGAUCUUGGGAGGUGCCUAGAUCUUCCACACCAUCGAGGGCAUCUCAGAUAUGAUCAGACCGGCAAAUUACAUCUUGUAAGCGGUGGUUGCGGAGUAACAACCGUCUGCCGUGAAUUUCCAACGAAUGCCAUCGUUGAUUCCUGGGGUGAGCUUUACCUCGAGGCAUAGAGUCCAUAGAGUAUAGAAUUCUUGUAUGAUGGUGACCGCCAUGCCACCUUCAAGGUUGAUGUGAAACACUAUUACACAGUAGCCGUCCAUGCCUGGCGAAACUGCAGUCUGUCGGUCAGCCGCUCAUGCCUUUACGCGGACGUUGGAGAUGAACUUCUCAAGAUGUCGCGACCUUUAUCGACUCUGUGGUGGACCGAUACACGCUGCUACGUGUGGAAGCAAAGCCUCUACACAGGUAAUUUGGUUAACCACUGCGCUACCAAAUAUAUGCUGCCAGUAUAUUACCGACGUCUCCCAGCCCCAAAUACAAUAGCUACACCACAAUAUGCAUGGAUCGACACAGAUACAUCAUACAUGUGACUUUUUUAUUUCUUUAUACUCCAGCUUUUGUUCAUUUGUUUUACCAAUGCCUUGCUCUAUUAUACUGUAUAUAAUAGACCAUCAUCUCUAUGACGCACAAGCAUUGUGCUAGCCUGUUAUCUCAGUCAAUUUCUGCGAUUCGGUUGUACCAGUUGAUAGGUAGCACUGGUUAGUCCUUUUAAAGCCACAAGGCUCAUGGUAUACACACAUAUGUCUGCAGUAAAGUAAACGCAUAUGUAUGAUCUGAACUCUGAAGUAAGUGAUAAGAGGAUCCCGAAUUCAUAAUUAGGCAGAAUGAUUUUUCAUGACGUGGAUGGACGACACAACAAUGAAAUAGACGUAAUUACUGAUAGGGAGAUCACUUGUACAACUUGUAUAUAUUAAUUCCCAGAUGCAAAUAAGUAGGCAAGUGCAUACAUACAAAAGAAAACAAGGAGCUAGAUAUUAUUGCCGAACUCAUAAAUGGUUUUUGCUCUAUAUAGCAAAAGCUAGUUACCAGAGCCUCCCUACAAGAAUAUGACUAUUGGAUGCGGAGAAAUAAAUCAUCCCUUAAACUCAAUUUCCAUUCAUUUUCUUUUCUACUUCUCACAUCUUUUUACGUACAAAACCCCAUUUGAACUAUGUUUGCAUCAUAUAUUUAAUUUAAAUCUUGAUAUUUCUAAUGCACAUAUUUUAACAACAUUGUGAAUUUAUUAUUUUCAAAACUUCAAAUCCGAAUUCAAACAUGACUUAGGGUCCAAAUGAAGCAAAUAAUCAAAUAAAACAUGAUGAUACAUGAACAAACUAUUGGCCAUGAUUUUGGCAUAGCUUUUCUUUCCCUGCGAGAAAAAUGCACACACUAGAAUCACAUCUCGUUGUCCUCUCUUCCCCUUGAAUGAUCAAUACCCUCACCAUGUGGAAAACAUCAUCUUCUUCUUCUUCCCCCCUCCUCCUCCUCUGACGCCGAGUCAGUGAAGAGCUCUUUCCACGGUCCUCCCCAUUUGUGCAAUGCAACAUAAAAUCAAAUUGGGAAAUCUUGGAAUACGAAUUCAUAAUUAAAAAAAGGAAAUAAACACCUUGCAUAUGGUGUGCUGGACAUCGCGCACCAACGGGAGUUAAUAUUGGACGUCGUGGACAGAGGGGAGUUGGAAAGGUGGUGUUUUGAGUCUUGGGCUCACCGGCGCUCCUUGGGACAACACCACCGCUCGGGUGUUUUUUAGUAGUUGUGGAGCCAAAACCGACUCUUUGUGAAUGACAUGUCUCUUUUUUAGUUCACACUACACAAAACCGAGCUAGAACAAAAUUGAGAGCAAAUUCUUGCCUAUUUGGAUCUAAUUUUUUCAAUUCUUUUCACUAAACAUCUCCUGAUGAGAUGCAAUUUGGUUUAGGUAAUAUGCAAGAGUCCUUAGUUAAGAUGAAGGACUAGUUUCAUAGCAGAAAAUGGUGAACAAUCUUGAAAGGCGGUCGUCAAGUGUUCACUAAGGCCCUGCUUGGAUUUGGUGUAAAUUUUUACUAAAUCUACAGGUGUAUAUUAUCGGUCGCUGCAUUAUUUUCGUCUAGAAUGAAAACGACGGCGGGAAGUCUGUAUUUAUUAUGGGUGUAAUUAGGAGCAAACCGACAAUCGAAACAGGACCUAUGGAGUUUCUGGAGAAGUUUCUAAACGUACUCCUUAACAAAAGUUUUCCCAAAAUAUUCCUUUAAAGUGGCUGCUCGUCGUGAGCGUUUUGAGUGCGCGUGGAGCCAAAACUGACUCUAUAUAUUUUAGACAUUUCUAUUUUUCUUUACGAGAGUGGAUUUUCAGCACCCGGGUGCCUAGGCACCCUCUAUAAAUAGUAACAUCAAAACAAACAGAAAAAAAGUUCAAAAAAAUCUGAAACUUUGCGAGAUCAAAGAUGAUCAAACUUUCUAGGUGCUUGCAAGUUUUCAUGCCAAAAAAACAUUUGAGGAGCUCUACAUAGGAAAAAUAUUUUAGUACUUCAAAUUUUAAGCACUUUUAAUACUAAAAUCUGAAACUUGUUUGUACACAUUUCUCUACAUGAUAUUUUGACAUGAAAACUUGUAAGAACCUACAAAGUUUGACCAUCUUAUAUGUUGCAAAGUUUCAAAAAAGUUUAAACUUUUUUUUCUGUAUUUUCAAUUUUACUGUUCAUAUAGGAUGCCUAGGCACCCGGGUGCUCUUCCACCUUUCUCUUUACUUAGUAGUGCAGAAAACUAAUUCAGAACAAAAUUUACAGACUAGUGUUUGUCUAGUUGGAUCAGAUUUUUCCGUUCUUUUUCCCUAAAUAUCACUAGAUGAGAUGCAGUUGGGCCCAUGGAUAUGCAAGAGACCUUAAGUACCGAUCUUUAUAACCUGUGUAAACUGGAGCGAUGAGUAAACUGGAGUACUGAUCUUUAUAACUUGUGUAUUAGAGCAUUGUAAAACUGUUUCAGAUGAGUAACCUGAUCUUUAUAACCUGAUCUAUUUUUACUCCAUCAUGUUGGAAAUAUUGUACUGCUUACAUUUGACUGCAUUUAGGAAACAUCAGUAGUACUACAAAUUCUGCUUACAUUUGACUGCAUUUAAGGAAAUUCUACUGCAUGCAAAUUUUAUAUCAUGAUCAAAUUCUGUUUCAAGGAACAACAACAACACUACAAGAGGAGCAGAGCAAGUACCUGUUCAUAGUAGAGCUGAACUUGAUCUUUCCAAACAAAGUAAGAUGAAGUUUGACCUCAACUUUGUCCACCAGAAGAUGUGGAUGAACCUGUGGCAAUAGAAGAGGAUCAACCUAUGGGAGUUGAAGAAGAUCAACUUGGAGGACAGGAAGAAGGUAAAUUUGAACGCUCUUGACCUUGGCUACUUCAGAUCCCUCGAGUCUCUAACGGACUGCAGAGCCCCUAUCACCAUCCCAGAUCUAAUUCAAUGGGUUCAAGAAGAAUUUGGUGAAUACGAAGUUGGAAAACUUAACAGAAUCUUCCUUACACUUCAAACAUGUAGGUUGGAAAUAAUAAAUCAUGGAGGAGGAAAUGCUUACAAAAUCUGCAUGCGAACAAAUCAAGAUUUGAAAGGCAUGGAAUCCUACCUCCUAGGAUUCAUUUCCCUCCUGAAGUGUAUUGCAACGCCUUAAAGAAUCUAGAACAAGAUGGACACUAAGGCUAGUUGCUUGUGAUCAAUGCCUUUGUUUCUUGUGAGAGAGCAUGUUGCUUGUGAUCAGAGGUUUUGUGUGGAGAGGCUAGUUGCUUGUGAUCAGUGGCUUUGUUGCUUGUGAGAGACCAUAAUGCUUGUGAUCAGAGGCUUUCUGUGGAGAGGAUAGUUGCUUGUGAUCAGUGCCAUUGUGUGGAGAGGCUAGUUGCUUGUGUGCAGAGGCUUGUGAUCCAUAUGUUUGUACUCCUUGUGAAGUGUAGUCCAUACUCCAUAUGUUUGUAAUUGAUGAUGUGGAGAACUCCAUUAUUGUGGAUUUCUUAAAGUUAUUUCCGAUUUGUUUUUAUUUCUCAAAAUUGUUUCUGGAUUUGUCCAUAUCCUUGUAUUCAUCAUCAUGCAUCAUCUCUAUGUGAAUCGUUUUGUAUGUGGAACUCAAAACACUUUAUAUUUUUUUUGACGGUGCUACGGUGGGCUUACGCCGGCCUGAACCUUUUCAAUAAAGAACCAUAGUAUGUUUACA
rnacentral:lncRNA from 1 species